AUACGAAGGGUGCAAGCGUUAAUCGGAAUUACUGGGCGUAAAGCGCGCGUAGGUGGUUCAGCAAGUUGGAUGUGAAAGCCCCGGGCUCAACCUGGGAACUGCAUCCAAAACUACUGAGCUAGAGUACGGUAGAGGGUGGUGGAAUUUCCUGUGUAGCGGUGAAAUGCGUAGAUAUAGGAAGGAACACCAGUGGCGAAGGCGACCACCUGGACGGAUACGGACACGGAGGUGCGAAAGCGUGGGGAGCAAACAGGAUUAGAUACCCUGGUAGUCCACGUCGUAAACGAUGUCAACUAGUUGUUGGGUUCCUUGAGAACUUAGUAACGAAGCUAACGCGAUAAGUUGACCGCCUGGGGAGUACGGCCGCAAGGUUAAAACUCAAAUGAAUUGACGGGG
rnacentral:rRNA from 1 species